rnacentral:tRNA from 1 species
GGGGGAAUUCCAGAGCGGCCAAAUGGGACAGACUGUAAAUCUGUUGUCUUACGACUUCGGAGGUUCGAAUCCUCCUUCCCCCACAA